GGCACUUUAGGGGGACUGCCGGUGACAAGCCGGAGGAGGGUGGGGAUGACGUCAAGUCCUCAUGGCCUUUAUGACCAGGGCUACACACGUGUUACAAUGGGAGUUACAGAGGGAAGCUAAACCGCGAGGUCAUGCCAAUCCCAGAAAAACUUUCUCAGUUCGGAUCGCAGUCUGCAACUCGACUGCGUGAAGCUGGAAUCGCUAGUAAUCGCGGAUCAGCACGCCGCGGUGAAUACGUUCCCGGGCCUUGUACACACCGCCCGUCACACCAUGGGAGCCGACAAGGGCAGAAGUCGCCGAGCUAACCUUCGGGAAGCAGGCGCCCAAGCUGUUGUUGACGACUGGGGUGAAGUCGUUCCAACGGU
rnacentral:rRNA from 1 species